ACGGUGCUUCAGCUCAUUGGUCCUUGAGAGCCCGUGACCCGGAUGUUCACACGGACGCCGGGAAGACGGAGGCCUGAAGGCCGCGCACGCGCAGAGAGUCCAGUGAUGGCCUCGCGCUUGCAGGCGCGUGGGUCAUACCUCCCAGUAUGAGGAUCGGCUGGGAGCCGGCGUCUGGAGUCGCCCCCGGGAGGGAGCAGACGGUUGGUGGGUGCUCCAAGGCUUCACCCACAGGGCCCUCCCUUAGCCCUCUUGGCGCCCUGGCCCUGCGGGUGCUCUACGGGCCCCACGGCCCCGCGAAGCGCCGAGGCUCGCCUCCCCCGGCCUCAGGGACAGCACAGAUUCAGGUUAGCACCUGCUACCCACCUGUUGGCCGACGGGUCCUAACAGUCGCGGAAGUCCCCGAGGGUUUUCCCCUCGUUGGUAAAGAGCUGCUGACUAGUGCCGUUAGCGCCACAGAGAGGCCAGUGCCCUGGGGCAAGGGAUGACGUCUCGUGCGUCUCUGAAUUUCUCCACGUGCCCAAUCGGAUGCUGGUGUGUGCACGCCUGUCCACCUAACAGUCGAUCACAUGAUAAAGUAUACCGCUGCUCAACGGAGAUUCAAAAUUGCAGGAAACCACACCCUGUGCCUGCCCCCCUGCGGCGUCGGCACCUGCCGUGAGCUUGGGCGACAGGGUGUCCAGGAUGCUCUCGUCCCAGGGCAGGAUGCUGAGACGCAGGUGGUCCAGCAGCUCGUCUCCCUCAGGCUUCGUCCCCCCAGCGGACAACCUCGGGGGGGAUGCCAGGCUCCUGCGUCCCCAGGUGAAUUUAAGGGUCUCCAGCUCCUCUGAGGGUAAAUUCAGGCACGGAUGGGGCCUGUCGCAGAUGCCUACCAAGGACACGGAAAACCAGCCGCCAGCUGAGAAAUCAGAAGCACAGAGAGGUGAAGAGACUCACCCAAAGCCACACAGCCAGUAAGUGGAAGAGCGGAAUUCGAACCCAGGUCUGACAUGAAAGACGACACCCCUCCACUGUGUGGCUUUGAAAGCAGCUCUAGAGAAUCUGUUCCGAGAAUCGACCCCAGCGCUACAUGUCCUCAGCAAGAUGUGGGGCGGCCAGCCUGGCUGAGGGCCUCACUUAGCUCUUUAGACACUGCCCCAACACAGAGGAUGCCGAGGCCAGUUUUCUGAAUUACCAAGAAUCCCCAGCUCCUUGCUCCUUGCUCGUGGCGGAAGACUAAUUCAGAGAAGCAAUAGGGAAGCCAGCUUUUAGCACUGAAGACAAACGGCCCCCAACCCAUCUGAUAUUGGCGAGAGCCCAGCUCCCACGGCCCAGGCCCGCUGAUGACUCAAGGGCAGGAGCCUGCCCCAGGAAGGACAGCUGCGCUCACGGGCGUGACCCGCACCUGGCUGGGGACAACUCUCUGAUUGCUCCACUCGGGCUCAAGGCCAGAAGCCCUGCUUAACUCCCUCCCUUGUUUAUCUAAAGGUUCAAAAUAGUUCAUGCAGGAAAGAAAAACUAACAGGACUGCCUUCACUCUUCGAACAGGGCAUUACUGUGGGAGGAGAGAGCCGUGGAGCAGAGACACCCCGUGGGCCAAGCCCCAGCUCCGCCCCUCAGUGAGGGGGGUGUUGUCCCUGGCUCACCUCCGUCUCCCCAUCUGUAAAAUGGGACCACGAUUUUGUCUCACGGGGCUAAUGAGGGGGCUGAGCCAGACGCCAAGUGAGGACGCUGAGCGCUGAGUUUCUAACUAACCCCAGCCUCUGGCGGACUGACUGCUGGCGAAAAGCUGCUAGAAGGCCUUGUCUGCCCUCACGUUGCCCAUACAUACCGUUCUCCUCCAAGAACCUGAGGGCAUCUAAGUACCCGCGAAGGCAGAUCUCGCCAAGCACCUGGCAACAGAUCAAAUAAGGUAACUGCAGUGCGGAGACCAGGAGCAGAACCCUCCCCGCUCGGAGCUUCUCCCGUGGCCAGGCUCGGCCACAGCGAGGCUGGACCCAGGGCUCUGUGCACCUGAGACAGGGAAGUUUGCUUCCACACGGGACUAGGCUCAAACGACACCCCUUUCCGCGGAGCCUUCACUGGCAGCCCAGCAUGACAAGCACUGGUUUCUCUGGGCUUCCUUGGUCCCCAGACGAGCUUCCACCCUCACAAAUACAGGGGCAAUUAACGUGGCCUCCUCCACAUAUGCAAACCAGUGCACAGCCUCCCCUCUCUCCUGGAGCACCUGCUGUAGUCUACACACUGCCUUUUUUCUCCCUGGAGAACCAUUAGUGUACACGGUUCACACGUUUUUUCUUUAUAUUAUGGGGAUAAGACCUCCUACAACAACAGUCAAGAAAGAUUAAACCACCAAACGCAGUGUGGUCCUUGACCACGCUGGCAAAUAAGAAUCAUCAGGAUAAUUCCCCCCAAAAAAAUCCCACUGCCCAGGCUGCACCCAAACCACUUAAAUCAUAGCCCCUGUGGGAUGUGGGAUCUGAGCUGUGGGGCUGUUUAAAUCUUCCCAGGUGAUCCCAGUGGGCAGAGUAGGGCAGCCCUGAGCUGCUGGGAUCAGAAACUCUUCUCUGCGUUCCUCUUCAAUGAGGGGGAUCUGUUUCCGUUUGUGAAAAGAACAAUUGGGAGAGAUCCUGGCAAACAGGGAGGCAAAGAAGAGCUGUACCCCCACAAGACACAGCCGCCAACUCACC